AACGGAAAGGCCCUGCUUUUGUGGGGUGCUCGAGUGGCGAACGGGUGAGUAACACGUGAGUAACCUGCCCUUGACUUUGGGAUAACUUCAGGAAACUGGGGCUAAUACCGGAUAGGAGCUCCUGCUGCAUGGUGGGGGUUGGAAAGUUUCGGCGGUUGGGGAUGGACUCGCGGCUUAUCAGCUUGUUGGUGGGGUAGUGGCUUACCAAGGCUUUGACGGGUAGCCGGCCUGAGAGGGUGACCGGCCACAUUGGGACUGAGAUACGGCCCAGACUCCUACGGGAGGCAGCAGUGGGGAAUAUUGCACAAUGGGCGGAAGCCUGAUGCAGCAACGCCGCGUGCGGGAUGACGGCCUUCGGGUUGUAAACCGCUUUCGCCUGUGACGAAGCGUGAGUGACGGUAAUGGGUAAAGAAGCACCGGCUAACUACGUGCCAGCAGCCGCGGUGAUACGUAGGGUGCGAGCGUUGUCCGGAUUUAUUGGGCGUAAAGGGCUCGUAGGUGGUUGAUCGCGUCGGAAGUGUAAUCUUGGGGCUUAACCCUGAGCGUGCUUUCGAUACGGGUUGACUUG
rnacentral:rRNA from 1 species